rnacentral:sRNA from 1 species
GCUGGUUGUGGUGGUGCCUGCCUGUAAUCCCAGCAGCUUGGGAGGCUGAGGCAGGAGGAUCGUGAGUUCAAGCCAGCCUCAGCAACAGCAAGGUGCUAAGCAACUCAGUGAGACCCUGUCUCUA